rnacentral:rRNA from 1 species
GUCUAUAGCCAUACCACCCUCAAUGUGCCUUAUCUCAUCUGAUCUCGGAAGCUAAGCAGGGUCGCACCUGGCUAGUACUUGGAUGGGAGACCGCCUGAGAAUACCAGGUGCUGUGUGCU